AGCGAACGCUGGCGGCAGGCCUAACACAUGCAAGUCGAACGGCAGCACCGUAAGUGCUUGCUCUUACGGGUGGCGAGUGGCGGAAGGGUGAGGUAUACAUCGGAAUCUACUUUUUCGUGGGGGAUAACGUAGGGAAACUUACGCUAAUACAGCAUACGACCUCCGGGUGAAAGCAGGGGAUCUUCGGACCUUGUGCGAUUGAAUGAGCCGAUGUCGGAUUAGCUAGUUGGCGGGGUAAAGGCCUACCACGGCGACGAUCCGUAGCGGGUCUGAGAGGAUGAUCAGCCACACUGGAACUGAGACACGGUCCAGACUCCUACGGGAGGCAGCAGUGGGGAAUAUUAGGCAAUGGGGGCGAGCCUGAUCCAGGCAUACCGCGUGGGUGAAGAAGGCCUUCUGGUUGGAAAGCCCUUUUGUUGGGAGAGAAAAGCAGCAGGUUAAGACCCCGCGGUUCUGACGGUACCGAAAGAAUAAGCACCGGCUAACUUCGUG
rnacentral:rRNA from 1 species